UACAGGGGGUGCAAACGUUGCUCGGAAUCAUUGGGCGUAAAGCGCACGUAGGCGGUUCGUUAUGUCGGAUGUGAAAGCCCUUGGCUUAACCGAGGAAGUGCAUCCGAAACUGGCGAGCUAGAGUACUAAAGAGGAUCGCGGAAUUCCCGGUGUGGAGGUGAAAUUCGUAGAUAUCGGGAGGAACACCGGUGGCGAAGGCGGCGAUCUGGGUAGAUACUGACGCUGAGGUGCGAAAGCGUGGGGAGCAAACAGG
rnacentral:rRNA from 1 species